rnacentral:misc_RNA from 1 species
GGAUGAAGAACGCAGCGAAAUGCGAUAAGUAGUGUGAAUUGCAGAAUUCAGUGAAUCAUCGAAUCUUUGAACGCACAUUGCGCCCCUUGGUAUUCCAUGGGGCAUGCCUGUUCGAGCGUCAUUUGUACCUUCAAGCUUUGCUUGGUGUUGGGUGUUUGUCUCGCCUUUGCGUGUAGACUCGCCUUAAAAUAAUUGGCAGCCGGCGUAUUGAUUUCGGAGCGCAGUACAUCUCGCGCUUUGCACUCAUAACGACAGCGUCCAAAAGUACAUUUUACACUCUUGACCUCGGAUCAGGUAGGGAUACCCGCUGAACUUAAGCAUAUCAAUAAGCGGAGA